UGUAAUACAUGAACUACUCGUUCCGCCUGCUCUGGCAUGCCCAUCUGCAAAGAGUUCAUAGUAGUUUAAAGCUGUGAUUGGAGAAUGGCAUACGUUGUACACAGUGAUAGUCUAGAGCCUUCAUUAAGUCAUCAGCUGCUGUGAAGGUGUAAUAAGUUUAAGAAACACAAAACAAACGGAAAAAAUUGCCCAUCACAAAUCAGGGUAAUUAUAUCUUGAGGCUUCGUAAUGAGGAUAUUAUUGCUGUGGAUGAUUGUCACCUGCAGCGUCCUUUGCCUUAAUCAUACGCAUGCAGGUGAAUGCAAGGGGACAUGCUCACCUACGGAGCGAAUCCCGCUUGUUGGGAGGGGACAAGUGCAGUGGAUGUACAGCCCGAAUAACGAGAGUACAUGCCGGAAGGUUAGGAGACGACUAUGUAGAGCCCUGCGAAGGUUCUUUGGAAGCUGCAUUGAAUGUAUUCAAGAAUGUUUCACUCCUCCAGAGGGCAUAACUCCCAAACAGUACAGUAUGAUGCUGUGCAAGGACCCUGUAAGAGGGUAGUGAACUGCCGCUAUUGAAAUUUUUAUGAGGAGAACCUGACGGAGUGCUGUAUCGGUUCAUAAAAGUGAUGAAAGGUUCUUGCGCAACAAAAAGAAAAGCUUUGAGAUUAUGUCGGCGCGAAUACGCAGUUCCACGAAUAAUAAAUACUACUUGUAUU